GAGGAGAAAAGAAGAACAUACAAGAAGAAGAAGAAAGCACUACUUAGUAAUAAAAUUGUGUAACUUAUUAGUGUCUAACUACGCAAAAGCUCUUUAAUUACGUAAGAAAUUGUGAAGAAAUAAAAAGUAAAUAAAUUAUAAAUAAUAAGACGAUAAAAACAAAGAAACGAGUAAGACGUAAAAGAACUACAAAAAAAUAUGUGAACAAGACGACGAGUAACAGCAGGAAGAAGAA
rnacentral:lncRNA from 1 species